rnacentral:rRNA from 1 species
UACGUAGGUGGCAAGCGUUGUCCGGAAUUAUUGGGCGUAAAGCGCGCGCAGGCGGUCCUUUAAGUCUGAUGUGAAAGCCCACGGCUCAACCGUGGAGGGUCAUUGGAAACUGGGGGACUUGAGUACAGAAGAGAAGAGUGGAAUUCCAGGUGUAGCGGUGAAAUGCGUAGAUAUCUGGAGGAACACCGGUGGCGAAGGCGGCAUCCUGGCUCGGUACUGACGCUGAGGUGCGAAAGCGUGGGGAGCAAACAGG